UAAACAGACUUGCAACCAGGCCAGGUAGAGUGACAAAUGCUUUGCUGACUCAAGGUUCAUAUUAGAGAAAGGAGAAUGAGGUUGUAAGAUUUCAAACUCAGCCCGAUCAUCCAAUUUACUCCAACAGAAAGAAUAAGUAUUUACUAUUUUUUAUCAUUAUAAAAAAUUUGAUCAUAUAACAAACUAAUUUGGAAAACUGAUAUUUUGUUAUUAAGAAGUUUUAAUAGGACCAUCUCAGUCCAAAUUAAAAAAGUCAAAAUAGCUAUCAUCUGAUAGGAAAAAGCUUCACUUUGGAGCUUUUAAAAUCAGCUAAUAUUGGGUGCUCCAACAAACAAAUAUCAGCUGCCGAUAUUUUGAUUUGUUGACCUAGCUGUUGGAGGUCAA
rnacentral:misc_RNA from 1 species